rnacentral:lncRNA from 1 species
GAAACCUGUUGGUGCAGAUUCAACUGUAGUGAAAGAAAAAAUCAAACAACCUGAGGCUCAUGGAACUAAUGGGAAACAGGCGAGACCAAAUACAGUACCUCGUUGGGUCCCCCCUAAUACAACUCCUUUAGUCAAUUCAAUGCAUGUAGCACAUCCUCUAUCCAAGUACAAUAGUGCACCACCUAUUCUUGCUUAUUGUGCGUCCCCUAAGGAUUCUAAUGGGGAUGCCCAUGUAAGGAUUUCUCCCGAUACUGCUGCUGCUGGAGAUCUAGCUUCAUAUGAGCUUUCUUCUCCUCCAGUAGUAUCACCACAUCUUGGCCCAACAAAAGUUGUGCCUCCUUGUACCACAACUUUACCUCUACCUCCACCUCCAUUCUAGCAAUGCAUUUUUAUCGAAGACUUCAGUUAAUGUGCCACAUCUGCCUCCUCCUCUGCCACCAUCCCCACCUUCCUCAUCAUUUGUGAGGCAGAAUGUAGAGGUAGUAUCACACAAUAAAUGCUCUCCACCUCCUUCGCCUCCUUUUCCCCCUUUAUCUAAUAGGCAGAAAAUUGAAGUGGUGUUACCUCCUGCACCGCUCCCUUGGAGGUCUGUUUAUAGUUCAAUUGUCCUUGUUUCAAGUGUUCCACCCUCACCACCACCUCCUCCUCCUCAUUCUGUUACAGUGACAGUUCCAAAGGUUGGAGUUGGAAUUCCCCCUCGGCACCUCCACCUAUGAUGGGUACCAAACUGUCACCACCACCACCACCUUCACCUCCUCCUCCAGAACAUGGUGCCCUGCCACUGCACCACCACUCGUAGGAGGAGGUGGCCCUCCUCCCCCACCUCCUCUUGGAGGCCAUGUUCCUAGAAAUUAGCGGUCGCAAACGUUACAGUCUAUUGACCGCCAAACGUUGCGGUUUAUUCUAUUAUAGCUGUCGAAAACGUUAUGGUCUAUAUAAUUUAUAAAUUUUUUAAAAAUUUAAAUUAGUAACAUGUUACGGUCUAUUUUAUAUAAUUUUUAAAUUUUUUAAAAUUUAAAUUAAUAACAUGUUCUUAAAAAGUAUAAGUUUCACGCACAAUCAGAUUCAGAUACAACUACCUGUUUUUUUUUUUUUUUAAUUGUCUAAUCAUACAAUCACCUAGCUACACUCUCCUUUACUCUGUUUCUUUCUACAUUUUUUUUUACUCUCCUUUUUCGUUAGGGCUUCUUCUCGCAUUUUUCUUUUUCAUGGAUUCAACUAUCUUUCUCUUAGUUAUGAUACUCAUCUUGGGCCUCAUAUCAUUUGGCUUCACAUCAGUUUGCUUUUAUCUCUUAAGGAGGGGAUCUAUCCUUCCUGUAAGCACUCAACAGGUUUCCUUUUUUAAUAAGUCUUGAGUUGACACCCAUGGUCUUAACUCGCAGGAAGGCUUUUCCUUCUUAGUGUCCUAAGGUUCCUAUUAUAGUGAGUCUUGAUUAGUUCUAAGGUUCCUAUUAUAGUGAAUCUUGAUCCGAUGCCAAUUGUGUUAACUCACAGCUCUCUUGAAGCUCCAAGGAGAAAUUUCUGUAAGGGAGAAAAUUUCUGGCCAGGAUGCUUUCUCUUCAUUUUCCUUUUCUUUAGAGCUAUGGCUUUAAGAGAGUGUUUUUUCUUCACACCCAUGGACGCUCGCUUAAAUACUUCUUCAGGAUGCUUAAAUACUUCUUCAGGAUGCAUGAUAUUCAUGGUUCAAGAAUUUGAAUUUGUUUAUUUUGUAUGAAGGGAAUGAGGUUUUUUGAAUUCUGAAUUUAUUUUUUUGUAUGUAUAGAAAAAUAUUUUUGUGUAUGGAGCGCAUGGAGAAAAAUAUAAUUGAAAAUAUAUUUCUAAUAUUAAUAUAGUUAAUGUCUAUAUUUUUCUUUUGCGGUUGUAAGUGUGUAAAUAGAAAAUGAAUGUUUGUCCAUCUUAUUUUGUGUUUGUGUUUGCAUCAAAAUCUGAUUGAAUGUUACUUUGAUUGAAUAUUAAUCUGAUUAUUUUUUUAGUUCUGAAUUUAUUUUUUGCAUUUAUAGAAGAAGUUUUUUUGUGUAUGGAGCGCAUAAAAGAUGAUGGAGAAAAAUAUGGUUGAAAAUAUAUUUCUAAUAUUAAUAUAAUUAAUGGUUAUAUUUAUCUUUUCCAUGGUGUAAGUUUGUAAAUAGAAAAUGAAUAUUUGUCUACAUUAUUUUGUGUUUGCAAUAUCUUAUUGAAUGUUAAUGUGAUUGAAUAUUAAUUUGAUUGAAUAGUAAUUUGAUAUUGUAGUUUCUAAUUAAAUGUUAAUCUAAUUGCAGUAUUAGAAAAAACUUAUGAAUUUAAGUACUUCAUCAUCAAUCUCAAAAUCUUUCAAAUCAAUCAGUGCUGCGUUCAUAAAUUUUUCUUGCAAUCAGAUUAACAUUCAAUUAGCAAGUACGAUAUCAAGUUAUCAUUCAAAUAUAUUAACAUUCAAUAAAAACAUUCAAUCAAAUAUCGGUGCAAAUACAGAAUAAUGUGGACAAAUAUUUAUUUUCCAUUUACAAAUUUACCACUAGAGAAGAAAAAUACAGGCAUUAACUAUAUUAAUAUUAAAAACAUAUUUUCAAUCAAAAUUUUCUUCAUCAUCUUAUAUGCAUCCUCUAUGUUCUCCAUACACAAAAAAUAACUUCUUCUAUACAUGUAUAAAAUAAUUUCAGGACCAAAAAAUCUCAUUCUUUUUAUACAAAAUAAACAAAUUUAGCUUCUUGAAUUAUGCAUAUCAUGCAUCCAAAAGAGGUAUCCAAGCGUCCAUGGAUGUGAAGAAGCACUUUCUUCAGGCCAGGACUCACUUUGGAGGAAAGAAAGAUGAAGAGGAAGCACCCGACAAUAAAUCUUCUUAUUUAGAGCUUCAGGAGGGUUGUGAGUUAAUACAAUCGGUGUCAGAUCAUGGCUCACUACAAUAGGAACUUUAGGACUAUAAGGGUUCACUAAGAGAGAGAAGCCCUUCUAGCUGUGAGUUAACACCAUGGGUGUUAACUCAGGGAACACCAUGGGUGUCAACUCAGGGCUCACCAAGAAAAGGAAGCCCUGUUGAGUGCUGACGAGAAGGAAAAGAGGCCCCUCUUCAGGUACCUCCUCAAAAAGUAAAAGCAAACUGAUAUGAAGGCAAAUGAUAUAAAGCCCAAGAUGAACAUCAUAGCUAAGAAAGAUAGUUGAAUCUAUGAAGAACAAGAAAGUAAGAAAAAGAAGCCGCCUUAACGAAGAAUAAGAGUAAGAGAAAUAACAUAGGAAGAAGUAGACUAAGAGAGAGUGUAGUUAGGUGACUAUAUGAUUAGACGAAAGAAAAAAAAAAAAAGAAAGUACCGACAAUGCAGAUGAGUGUAAAUGAUAAUUAAAAUAAAAUAUUUCUCGUAUCAUAAAAUCGAAUUGUUUUCAGGUCGGGUCGGGUCAAAACUGUCAGAUCCAGUUUAUAGAAUUGACCAGACUAAAAAUUUUAAAUUGAAAUAAUACAGCAAUUAGCGGUUAUGUUUUAUUUUAUGCAAUUUAUAAAUUUUUAAAGAAUAUAAAUUAAUAACAUGUUUUUAAAGAGUAUAAGUUUCACACACAACGUCUGUCUAUCUAUUAAUGCAGACAUCUAGCUACACUUUCUUUUACUCUGCUUCUUUCUAUAUGCACAACGAAGAAGAAGUAGAGAAAGAGUGCAGCAAGAAGCAGAGUGCGACUAGAUGGCUAUAUAAUUAGAUUGAAGAAGAAAUAGAAAGUAACUGUAUUUGGUUGUGCGUGAAACAUAUACUCUUUAAAAAUAUGUCACUAAUUUAUACCUUUUUAAAAAUUUAUAAAUUACAUAAAAUGGUAGUUCUCGAUUGCUAAUUUCUGCAUUAUUUUAAUUUAAAAUUUUUAGUCUGUUUAAUAACUGUACUUGCAGUUUUGAUCCAACCUUAUUCAUCGGACCUUAUCCAAGAACAGUAUGAUGAUCCAAGUUCUGUAAAAUAUUUAUGAUACGAGAAAUAUUUUAUUUUCAUUUACACUCGUCGGCGUUGUUGUGCUUCUUUCACUUCUCCUGCUUUGCUCUCGCUUCGCGCUCACUUCAUCGGCGGGUUUUAGUAUGGCUAUAUCUAUGGGGUUUUAUAUGAAUUAGAGCCCAUCUCGGUUUGAUGUCAGUGAUUCCGGUGUUCUUGUUUUGUCCUCUUCGCACGUGUACAGACCGGUGCCAGCCCUUCUGGUCUACCUAAGCCUCCAGGUGUUGCACUGCCUCCGCCAUUAGGUGGUCAAGGAGUUGUAGCUGAUACAGGAGACCUAGCUUCUGGAAGAGGCCAUGGCUUCUCUCGGGGAUCAACUGUCACGGCACCUAGAAGAUCGUCCUUAAAGCCUCUGCACUGGAGCAAAGUAACAAACAAGGGCAUUACAAGGAAGUUUGUGGGAGGAGCUGCAAAGACAUGGGGAGCCCCAAAUGUACUGUAACUUAUUUAUGUAUUUUUUUAGAACUAGUAAUGUCUUUCUGCCACUAUUAUACUUCUGAAAUUUCAAAUUAUGAGUAUCUUACCGGUUUAUGUUUAGUGUUAUUCUUCCUUUAAUUUCUGUGUUGCAUUUUUGUGCUGUAGUGCACCAGAAUUUGAUGUGUCAGAGAUAAGACCCUUUCCUCUGCAACAGUCCCCAAACAUACUGAUUCAGGAGGCAAUGGCGUAGGAAGACUCAAAUCUGUUGGAUCAAAAACCGACAAAGUUCACCUGGUACUCUAAUUAUUCAAUACUUUAACCCUGGUGUUGCCAUACCAUGAAAAAUUGAUGAGUCAUUUGGAUCUGUAGAGGGUUGAUUUCAAUCAGUAGCAAAAGGAAAAAUAAACCAAGAGCUGAGAAUUAAUUGAGGACAUGUAGCUAAAGCCUAAUACAUCACUCGUCAUCACCUGUCACUAUGAACUUAUGAUGGCAAUGACUGAUUUUUUUUAAUCAUAUACUGCUUCCAACUCUUAUCUAUUGAAUUAUGAAAGAAACUUGAACUAAUGUUAUGAUGAAUCAGUAAAACUUGAUAACUCCACCUAUCAAAGUUUAAGCAAUUAGGCGUGUACUUGCCAUCUUGCUAGAUAAAGCUCAUGAAGCAUAAUUACCAGCAUGACUCGUGGUAUAAUUCUUUGCCGCAGGUAAGAAGCAUGGGAAGUGAGCAUCACCGGAUGUAUUUGCUUCAUAGAGUCCUUUUUAGGCAGCUGCAUUUCUCUCUUCUUUAUGUGGAGAACUGAUGGAAGCUCAUACGAAUGAUCAGUCAUCUAAAAUGCCAGCCCUCAGGAGCAAGGAUCAUGUUAACUCGCCUUCCCACCAACUGGCCAGAUAAACCAUCAGUGGAAGUAGAAUAUCCUGCAAAAGACUGGUGAUCAAUGAGGUUUAGAGAGCAGUACAUACCAAAAAGCAAGAAAAGGGAUGAGGUAGCAAAGAAAGGUCCACAAUGAUGGACUGCUCUCCCUUAUUUCCUCGUACUCCAUGAGCACUACUUUAUUUGUUUUUGGGUUUGUUCCAUUCUCUAUUAUUUUUCUCCUUCCACUUUUGAUCUUAUUUCCACUGCCCUUCUCUUUUUCUUUCCUCCUUUCAGUGAGGUUACUUAUUCUUUCGAAAAUUUCCAGGAUUUGUCAAAAUCCUCAGCUGUGUAUAUACCACUCAUGAGUCACGAUUUGUAAGACUUGUGGCACCAGGCGUCUUUACUGCUAUUGUUAGAAUUGCAUUGCUUUUCUGAAAGCUUCAUACUUCCAAGCACUUCUUAGAAUAAAAAUACAGUGCAAUUCACUGGUGCAGCUAAAAGAGUUUUGCUGCCAUUCAGGUGCUUAAUGGUUGUUUAUCCAUUAAUGUCAAUAAAUCAACAAAAAUGAAUAUAUUAUCAUUAAGAGUUGUUCUGGUUCCAGCCCAAACUCGGUUAGUUCACUAAAUUAUAAACUCGUUCUGGGUUAUGGGUGCAGUCUAUAAUUACAAAUGAAUGGGAAUUAUGUGUUACUAUUAUAACAAAAUAUGAAAUAUAUUUAAUUAAUUAUACAUAAAACUCAAAUCCGACUCCAAUUAAAUAAGGAUAUUAUGUAUUCCAAAUUCAAUCAUAUAUUAUAUAAAUUCAUUUUAAUAGACUUUCAAAAAGUUAAUACUGUGAAAAAUGAAUUUGUAUUUAACGAAUGGGUGUAUAUAAAUAUAAAAUUUUAAUUUAAAAUUUUUAUUGAUCGAAAUUUUUACACUACAAUACAUAUAAGAAUUUAAGUGGUAAGGAAAAAGGUUGCUGUUGGACUUCUGGAAUGAAAGAAUUUAAGUGGCUGCAACCUGCAAGCCUGAAUACUGUAAGGAUUUCAAAGCAGCUUGUAAUAAGAUACCUGGAUAGGAUGAAGCAAAAGAAUUAUUUGAGGAUGCAUGGCUGCUCUCCUCAUGUUUGUGUCAUAUAAAGUUGCAAUGAAUUGAUUGAUUGUAUUAAAGAUUGAAUCCUGUUUUAAAGUUGCAAUAAUUCAUGUAAUUUUGUUUGUUAUUGAACAAGCUUCAUGUACAAUGGAGGCAUCUCAUGUAAUUUCCACUUGCAAGUCAAAGACUAAAAGGUUUCUAUGUUUGAGGUCAGUGGGCCUCUUGUUGGGUUCUGUUAGUACAUAGAUUCAUGAACUUAAAAGUAAAAUUUGAACUCGCAUGACAAUUACAGGGUUAAAAAUGUAAUUUAGAUAUUCUGAAUUAUGAAAUAAUAAUCCUUGUUACAUGAAUUUAACCCAAUUUCUUCCUAAAAAAAAAAAGGAUAAAAUUGGAUUUUUGGGGUUUAUGUGGGUUAAGCUUGCAAGGCAAUAAUUGGGAAAUUCCAAGCAUAAUAAUACAAAUAACAAAAUGUAUCAAUCUUUGGAGAUAGAUUACAUAAACCUUAUCUUACCCUAAAUAUCUACUAAUUUAUGCAUGUGCUGUGUCGUUUCAAGGAUAUUGUCGUAAAAUGGUGUUGAAAAUGUAGCAUAUGUACGAAGAACUUGACUCCAAGACUCAACAAAAAUCAAUCAACAUCUGCCGUUGCCUAGCAAUCAGCAACCAUCAAAGGCGUUAUCUAUUAAAGAUGGUGGAUCCUUGAAUAAGGCCAAGCCUUGGCCAACCAUGGGAGGGGGGGGACUCUGUUAUUCACCAUUUGGAUGGAUUCCAUCAUUCUACCCAUAAAAGUGGAAAGGGACCAUUUUCUGUCACCACCACCCAUUUCUUUUUUUUAUGUUCUUUUUUGGCUCCUUACGCUUUAAUUCCUUUCUUGCAUUAUCAACCUUCAAUCCUUAACGUCUCAUCAUCUCAUUUUAAUUCUUACCCAAAAAGAAAAAUCUUAAGUAUAUAAUUGAUCAACUUUGAAUUCUUGUUACAUUGAAUCAAUUUUUAUUCUGUAAAACUCUGUGAUGUAAACAUGAUUAUAAUGUAUUAAGUAUUAAUAAUUAAUAUUAAAUUAAAAUAAUUUUUAUAAAGAGUAAUUAUUAAUAAAAAGAUAAGAAAUAAAUUUAAAAUUAAAAAAAUAAAGAAUAAAAUAAAUAAAAAGAGUACCCAAUGGCUAACUAAGUAGUUCUAAUAUAAAUAGUUUUAAAUAAAAUUAAUUCUUGUAAAAUUUCAAAUAAAAUUUAUUUUUAAUUUAAAAUUAAUUUUUAUAAAAAUUAAAAAAAAUUAAAAUUUUACAUUAUUAAUUUUAUCAAACAUAGAAAUUUAAGAAAAGAAAUUCAUUUCUUUUAAAUUUUUUCAAAAUUAGUCGUUUCAAAUAAGAGCUAAAUAUUUAUAAUUUUAUUAUUUCCUUCACAUUAUAAUUUUUAUUUAUUUUUUAUUUUUUAUUUUUUAUUAUCUCAAAAUUAUUAUUUAUUUUUUAUAUAUAAUUAAUAUAUAAAUUUAUUCUUAUAAUUCUGUUUAAUUUUAUUUUUUAAAAUAAUCUUUUAUUAAUUACUAAAAUAUAUCUUAACACUCUUUUCAUUCCAUAAUUUUUAUUAAUUUUUUUAAUUAUUUUAAAAUUAUUAUCUAUUCUUUAUCUUUUAUCUAUAAUUAAUAUAUAAAUUAUAUAUUAUAAUUUUAUUUUAGUCUAAAAUAAAUUUUUUUUUGAAUUGAGUCUAAAAUAAACUCUUAUUAAUUAUUAAAAUAUCUUCCAAUAUUUAAUAAAAUUUAAUGUUUGAUGAAUACGGUUAAAAAAUUAAAUAAUAUUUUUUUAACAUAUAUAAAAAAAUAAAAUAAAAAAGAAAUUAUGAAAUGAAUAUAAUAUUUAAUAAACUUUAAUAUUUUAAAAUAACUAUAAUUAUAAAUUUUAAAAAAAUUUGUUUUUUAAAUAUAUACAAAAAAUUAAAAUAAAUAAAAGCUACACGAAGGAGGGAGCGUUAGACUGUGACUUAUACAAACCACUCUAUAUGAAUUUGGCUAAUGUAUGUAUAAUAAUAAUUCCUCAUCAAAGAAGUGGGCCCGGUUAACUGCGACUUUGUGCAUUGCAACAAAGCGCCUGUCUUACGAAUAAUUACCCUAACAAAACACGAGGGUUAAUUGCUGACGCUGGGAUUAAUUACCAUAUUCCUCUGCUCCCAAUCACAUGACAUUGUCAUGCACACGCUGUGCCUACAAUCAUCUCCUGGACCCCACACUUCAUCAUCAUCAUCCUUCCAUCUAACUUUUCCUAUCCAAACCCAUCAUCUCCUGCCACGUGGAUCCCGUCAACCUAUCUCCUGCGUCAGAUUUCUUAGAAUCUGGAAUGGCUAAACUUAAUUAAAAGGAUGGUGGUUGAUUAAUUAUUAAUUAAAAAUGGUCAAAAUAGUAAAAUGACAGCAGUCGUAUUUUGCUUGUCCCUUAAUACAAGACACGUAUAAUACACGCGAUUUGGAUUUUGUUUAAUACUAGUAUUUUCUGUAGGUCUACGGAUAGCUUGACACGUAUUUCUCCUUUGCUUCGAAAUUACUGUUUUACCGCCCUUUAACAGCUCAACCGAUCACCUUUCACUAAUAAAAAUUGAAUUUUAUAUUAAAAAGUAAAAAUUAAUUAUUCUCAUGGAGCAACAUAUAUUAUUUAAUUUCAAUGAAUAACAUAAAUAAGGAUAUAUUUUUAUUGAAUUACAUUUAUUAAAAAUAUGUAAAAUUAAAAAAUAAAUUUAUAAAUUUAAAAAAAAUCAUUUCUAAUAAAAAUGUCUGCCUUUUUCAAUAAAAUAAAUUAUCUCAUGGAUUUAAAAACUUUAUUAAUAAUAUAAAUUUUAAAUAAAAAAUAAAUUAUUUUAUUAAAAAUAUUUUUAUACAUUUUUUAAAUAUUAUAUAUUAAAAUAUUUUUCACGUAUAAACUAUUUUUAUGUAAAUCAUUACUUUUUAAUAUUUAUAAUAAUUUAAUCAUUUUAAUUUGAUUUUUAUUAAUAACUUAUUAAGAUAAAUUUAAUAUAAUAAUUAUUUUAUUAAUAAAAUAAAAUUUUAAGAAUUAAAUUAUUUGUUAUUUAAAAUAUAAAAAUAAAUUAUAAAUUUUAUUAAAUCUUAAAUAUUAUAGAGUAAUUAAAAAAAGAAAAAAAAGAAAAAAAAAGCAUGUCUGGUAUUGGUAAUAUUUUGUGUGAUGGGGUGUAAAAAGUUACCAGAUUUACCAGUUUAUCUUGAAUUCCUGAAUGCAGCAUGGACGUUACGAAGGCUGAGCCGACAAUUAUGAGAAACUUUACAGUACUUUGAUGGACCAGAAUAUCCAGGUGGUCUCAACGAAAAGAUUUUAACAUGUACUCGUGCCAAUAAUUUAUCCACUUGAUACAACAAAAUCAUGUGUCCCGAUUUCAUAAAACCAGCCAAUACUUAAAUGGACCCCAACAACUCUGUUUUUCAUUAUUUUUUCCUUUUCUUUUCUUCCACUGAGAAGACAAAACAGCUGAUUUUAAUUCAAAAAAAAAAUGAGACCACGUGAGCAAUGAUGUUUUAGAUCCAAACACCACUUAGACAGGGUCACAACUACACUUUUUUAUCCGAUUAUUAGUUUAUUAAAAUAGAAAAAAAAAUUAAAAAAGGAAAUUUUUAGAAAGUACCAAAUUUAAUACAUGCCAAACAAAAUAGUUUAGCUCCAUUUUAUUAUUUAAUUUUUUAUUAUAAAAAAUUAAUUAAUUAAUUUUUUAUUUUAAAAUUGAAUAAAUAAUUAAUUAAUUUUUUAUAAUAUAAAAAUUAAAUAAUAGUUUUUCUAAUUUGAAUUACUUAGAUUUUUUAUAAACUUUCACCUUGGCUAAUAUGUUUAUUAUUUUUAAAUGUAUUAAUUAUAUUUAUGCAAAUAAAAUAUAAUUAAAAAAAGAGUCGUUAAAUAAAGGGUAGCUGGCUGACUCAUUUCCAUUUUCUAGAUUUGGGUACGCACUAAACGACGAGCUGUCUAGGCACGUCGCGGUUAGGCGAUGAUUGUAUGUGGCACCGCCCCAGAAGACGGGAAACUUCCAGCUCCAAUGUUAUCAACAAAUUCUAUUCAACUGCUUUUUUAGUUUUUACUAUAUCAAGCCCCUGUAUUCAUUAUAUUUAUGCUUUUUUAACUAUAAGUUAUAUUAUAUAAUAAGAUAAAUAUUUAUAUUAAUUUCCAAAAAUAAUAUCAUAGUUAAUGUUUAUCUUAGAAUAUUCAUUUUUAUGUUAUUUAAUUAUUGGUUUAUUCUCAAAAAUAUGAAUUUUUGUAGUAUAAUCAUCUUACAUUGGAUAAAGUUUAAAGAUGACAAAAAAUCAUAACACGCUUGGGUCCUAAACAUGGCAAUCUCAUUAUUUACAAGCAAAGUUUCAAUAAUAAUAUAGUUUAAGCUAAUUAAAACUAGUCUUUUAUUAAUUUAAUUUCCUUUUUAUAGUUUGUUUAUUAAUUUACAAAUAAAUUAUCGGUAAAAAAUAAUGUUAUUAUGAUUAGCAAUACGCAGGAGCCAGGGGUGGAUGGAUUAAUGGAGCCAACCAAAACCAAAAAUAUAGGUGUCUUAAUUUUGUCUUUCAGUCCACUGCGCUUCUCUCUUUAUUUCCAUUCCCUUUUAUUUCUCUCCCCAUUUGAUUUUGCUUGAUCUUAAUUCUUACAAGAAAAUUUCUCAAUUUCCCUAGAAAAAAAAUUUUAUCAUCAUUUUCACCUUCAUCCUCUCUACUGUCACUUCGUCCUGUACACAUUCACUUAUUUCUCUCUCUCUUUAAAUUAUCUAAUUUCAACUCUUCACAUUCAUUCAAUAUGUUAUAGCAAUUGCCUUCAAGUUUCCUUUUUAAUCUUCCUCAAGUUUGGCCGGAGAUUAGAGAUUUUGUCAUUGUGCCUGAUUUCUUUGAUUCGUGGCGAGUUUUUCUUCUAUCAGCUUUUGAAUGUUGGAGGAAUAUUGUUGAAUUUCGGGGCGCUUUGAGGUCUCGGUUUGCUGAGUUGGAGAAUAUUGGGAUCUGCUGUGAAUUUGACGUCAAUUGUGACAUUUUCUGUGAUAUUAUCAAUCAACGGUUUGGAUCCGAUCGGGGGAGAAACAGCGCCAUCAGAUGGCGCUGUUCAGACGCUUCUUUUACCGGAAGCCGCCGGAUCGGCUUCUUGAGAUCUCUGAGAGAGUUUAUGGUACCAUUUGCAUUUUCUUUUUCCCUUUUCUCUUUUUGGUGAGGCGGCUGGAUAUAGAUUUUUGGGGCAUUUUCUUGAAUUCUUGCAGAAUGCUGUUUUGUCUCAUUAUGACCUAUUUUCGUUUGCAAUUCUUUUCUUCUAGUCGCACGAUUGCUUCUGGAGCUCAAUUAGGUUUUAGAAUUCCUCUGUUAAUUUAGCUUUUAGAGCUGAAUUAUUGAAGUUUGGCAUUCAUUUUCAAAUAAUGCAAUGCAUUCUCUUUGGUUCUCUGCAUUCACAUUUUAUUUUAUUUGAUGCAACAAAUUUUAUAAGCUGUGGCAUUCUUCAUUUCUUCUGCCUGCUGCCAUCACUUGCUCUCAUUCUCCGGUAAUCAAGGUUCAAAGUCUUGAAGUUUAAAGUUUAGCCGGAGUUGUCAGGUUACCCAGAAGUUGAAUAACUUAAUUGAGCUUUUACAAUUCGAUUUCAUGACUAAUGAAUUAGCUUUAUAGCCAAUUGAUUGUACUGCAUAUAUUAAGAGACUGAACUUCCUGUAUUCAUGAGGAUACUCCCUUUCUUUAUGGUCAAUGCUUGCCUCAUUUCCUCUUUCUUUUUGUUUCUAUUGUAGUGUUUGAUUGUUGCUUCUCCACUGAUGUGUUGGAAGAAGACGAGUACAAAGUGUACUUGGGUGGCAUUGUGGCACAAUUGCAGGAUCAUUUUCCUGAUGCUUCCUUCAUGGUGUUUAACUUCAGAGAAGGGGACAGACGGAGCCAAAUAUCAGACAUAUUAUCUCAAUAUGACAUGACAGUCAUGGAUUAUCCUCGUCAAUAUGAAGGAUGUCCUGUGCUUCCUCUGGAGAUGAUCCACCACUUCCUUCGGUCUAGUGAAAGUUGGCUGUCCUUGGAGGGGCAGCAAAAUGUGUUGUUAAUGCACUGCGAGAGAGGAGGAUGGCCUGUGCUUGCAUUCAUGCUUGCAGGUCUUUUGUUAUAUCGGAAACAGUAUAAUGGGGAGCAGAAGACUCUUGAAAUGAUCUACAAGCAAGCUCCUAGAGAACUUCUGCACCUUUUGUCUCUUUUAAAUCCACAUCCUUCCCAACUAAGAUACCUUCAGUACAUUUCUAGGAGAAAUUUGGGUACUGAUUGGCCUCCAUCUGAUACGCCCUUGGUGUUAGAUUGCUUGAUGCUCAAGGCCCUUCCAUUGUUUGAGGGUGGAAAAGGCUGCAGGCCAGUUGUACGGGUUUAUGGUCAGGACCAUUCAAAACCCGCUAACAGAACUUCUAAGCUUCUAUUCACGAGUUCAAAGACAAAAAAACAUGUUCGACAUUACCAAAAGGUAAUAGUGAUAGUAAGUCAUAUUAUAAAAAAUGACUGAAGUGUUAAUCACAUUAUUAGUUAUUCUUACUAGUUUCAAUUUCAGGAAGAGUGUAUGCUAGUGAAAAUAGAUAUCCGAUGCCGUGUUCAAGGUGAUGUUGUUCUUGAAUGCAUCCAUUUGGAUGGCGAUCUUGUUCACGAGGAGAUGAUUUUUAGAGUUAUGUUUCAUACAGCAUUUGUUAGAGCAAAUACUUUGAUGCUACGUCGUGAUGAAAUUGACACUAUGUGGAAUGCCAAGGACCAAUUUCCAAAGCACUUUAAGGCAGAGGUAGGUGGUUGUUAUUUUUCAAUUAAAGUUCUCUUUUGAAGCUGUUGGAGUUGAAAGCAUACUCAUAUCUGGAUCAGGUACUUUUUGCGGAUGGUCAUACUUCCAUCGUGCCUAAUCUCUCCACACUCAGAGCAAAUGAAGAUGGGAAUGAGGCUGAAAGUGCUUCGCCUGAUGAGUUUUUUGAGGCUGAAGAGAUAUUCAGCAAUGCGAUAGACACACAAGAAGCAAAAGGGCAUUAUGACACUCAUUCAGACCAUGACAAUUUGUCGGUAGAUGUAGAACAUAAAGAAGUCUUUAGGGAUACAUUUGAUGAUAGGAGUCACAAAGAGGCUAAAAAUAUGGAUUUUAAUGUUGAUGCAGUGAAGGACAUAGCUGUGGAUGAUGUGAAAUACAAGAUGGAUGAGAUGGUAUAUCCUGAUCUUCAAGCAGUGAAAGACAUAGCUGUGGAUGAUGGGGAUCUGAAGAUAGAUUCCAUGGUUGCUGUUGAUACAUUGAGAAACAAUGCAAUAAAGGAACUGGAUGAAGAUGGGAGGGGAGAUUUCAAAGAGAUGGAAGCUAAAGCUAAUGGAGAAACCAAUACUACAGAGAUUUUACAAUCCAUACUUCCACAGCUAAAGUUGAGUGUUGAUGUUGGUAGACAAAAACCUGAGAAGGCAGUGCCAACCGCACCUAGGAGCAUGAAACCUGUUGGUGCAGAUUCAACUGCAGUGAAAGAAAAUAUCAAACAACCCGAGCCUCAUGGAACUAAUGGGAAACAAGCGAGGCCAAAUACUGUACCUCGUUGGGUGCCCCCUAAUAAAGCUCCUUUUGCCAAUUCAAUGCAUGUAGCACAUCCUCCAUCCAGAUACAAUAGUGCACCACCUGCUCUUGCCUUUUGUGCUUCCCCUAAGGAUUCUAAUGUGGAUGCCCAUGCAAGGACUUCUCCUGAUGAUGAUGCUGCUGCUGGAGAUCUAGCUUCUUAUG